AAAACUUUUAUGAUGAACAGCACCUUUUCUAACAACUGGGACUUUCCCAUGUGAAGAUAAGGCCAUUCUGCAUCCAUGGUGAUGUCACGACAUCUUCACACCCUCUUGUUAGGAAAAUUAGGCCAACGGAACACAAGAGACUAAUACCACUUAUUCCUGUGAAUCAACCAGUGACCUCUGGCUCCUGUUCAAAAUAAACAAAAGGGAUUGGUAACACAAAGAUAUGGAUUGGCAUCCUACUUUUGGGUAUAAGAUGGAAUCACACAGAGAGUAACUUAUUUGCUGAGUGGGCACAGACUUUAAUUUCUCUACAUAAUCGGACAAACUGUUGGAUAUCCCUUUUGCUGGGACUCAGAGUUACAAAUGACCCUCACCAUACUGACGCUUUCUGACUGAGCUUCUCUCUACCCUGAAUAUAAGAGACCCUAACAGGUAGGUAGGAAUAUCAUUGCCCCUGUUCAGCAUGAAGUUACAGAAGAGGGAUCUUCAUUCUUCUGCAACCCUUAGGAUUACGGUUCCUCUUGUAAAAGGGAUGGGGAAAAUAUGUCAGAAGCAUUCGAACCAGAGUGACUCCAUCUUGAAUGUGACUCCAUCUAGAAGAAUAAGGCUGGGACUUGCUGGGCUGGAUUCCCAGGAGGUUAGGUAUUCCUAGCCUGUAGAUGUUUCUGGUUAAGGGUACAGAUUAAAAAUGUUUACUAAACAGACCCAGGCCCAGGAAUGACCGAUAUCCUGACAUCCUGAGAACAAAGACAUUCCUAAUUUUGCUUUAAACAGAAUAAUAUCAAUUCUUGCAAAAUAUAGUAAUUGAGAAAAUUAGUCCUUUAUCACAAGCCCUUGUAGUAGAGCACAUCUCCCUGUGAUUUUUUGUUGUUGUUGUUGUUGUUGUUAUCCUACAUAUAAACAAGCACUGUACUUAGGGUGGGUGCAUUCCUCCUCUUACUUUUGGGAAUGCCCUACUCUGUCUAUGGACUAUUUCACUCCUUCACU
rnacentral:lncRNA from 10 species